UACGUAGGGACCGAGCGUUGUCCGGAAUCAUUGGGCGUAGAGAGCGUGUAGGCGGCCCCUUAAGUCCUGCGUGAAAUCCUGCGGCUCAACCGCAGACGGUCGUGGGAAACUGGAGGGCUAGAGUGCGGGAGAGGAGAGUGGAAUUCCCGGUGUAGAGGUGAAAUUCGUAGAUAUCGGGAGGAACACCAGUGGCGAAGGCGGCGACCUGGACGGACACUGACGCUGAGACGCGAAAGCGUGGGGAGCAAACAGG
rnacentral:rRNA from 1 species